CACUGUACAGUGCAGUGUUACAUCAGUAGAGUCUACGCAGUUUUUUUUAUUAUCACCUCAGGAAUGAUGCUCACUAGUAUUAGCGCUGUGUGGUGCAGAAACAACGGUUUGUUGUUGCUGUGUUGUAUGUUCUGGAACAGGUUCUCUUCAACGUCACGAGUCUAUCAAAAGUUGUCGCCUUUUUACCUACUAGUAUGUACCAGCCUACAAGUACUUGCAAGCAGUAGUAGCGAUGGCUAUGUAGACCGAGUCAGCGGUCAGCGGUUUGUGUUCGCUAUUCAGGACUUGGCUGCGGAAAAAGAUUUGGUUGGAAGGAGCUACUGGUAACUAAAAUUUACAUGCAAGCGAAGCGUCAGCAUGUCGUGAACAAAGGUACGAUAGGCGCUAGACGGCUAUGUAAAGUCAGUUAUGUUACCUGUACUAUACCAACGAAGACGCUUGCAACGAGCUUGAAACGGCAACGUCGUUACACGUAGCAGGUCAACACAGUAUGUCUUUGGAAGACGGAGUUCAUCACAGUGAGUCAUUCAGCUUCUCUGCUGCCCAGCAGCCACCAAGCAAACUGGCACUAGCAGUGGCCUCUGACAUAACGUCGAAAGUUCGGUCUUCGGACCUGUCCAUCGUGUCACAUCGUUUGUGACUUCUGUGGCUAUCCGUACACCGACCGACCUGCAGUGCAGACUGGAUAUGAGUGCGUUUGCAUACCAUGCCUUCGUUAUUAUUAUUAUUUUUUUGUAAACUGUCACCAAUAUCGAGACGGACACAAAGCUGGCGAGCGACAGAAUAUGGACAAGUGCAAGACGUACUAUUCUCACGCUAUCCAUUAGCCGACUGCGGCGUGCAGACCCUCACCCGGAAUCAUUGCUGUUCGUUCAGGAGUCACUCAGUGGCACGGCAGAGAAAGCCACGAGCGAUGUGGAUGGCGUACCAAGUGAAGCAGACGACCCGCAGUGAACAGUGUAUGCUACCACCACGUGUGAGACAUGCAGCUACUGAGACAGGAGACCCCAACCUCCAGACAGCUUGUCAUGUUGGUGGGGCGCUCUCGCGACACGGGGUGCUCUGGCGGUACUUUACGGUGGAGAAGGAGGAAGGAGCAGUGCUUGCUCUUAAUUAAAAGAAGAAAUAAGCCGCCGAGAAAAUGCUCCCAUUUGUUUGUAUGCAGGUGGAGGAGGAAGAAUCAGUGCUUGCUCCCAGAAAGAAGCAAGCCCCCCCCCCCCCCCACC